rnacentral:rRNA from 1 species
AAUGAACGUUGGCGGCGUGGAUUAGGCAUGCAAGUCGAGCGAGAAGAGUUUGGUAGCUUGCUAUUGAACUCGGACAGCGGCGAAAGGGAGAGUAACGCGUAGUUACGUGCCCCAGGGUUCGGAAUAGCCACGGGAAACUGUGGGUAAUGCCGAAUAACAUCUCCGGAUCAAAGGUGUGAUUCCGCCCUGGGAGCGGACUGCGUCCUACUAGCUAGUUGGCGGGGUAAUGGCCCACCAAGGGGACAAUGGGUAGCGGGUGUGAGAGCAUGACCCGUCUCACUGGGACUGGGACACUGCCCAGACCCCUACGGGUGGCUGCAGUCGAGAAUCUUCGGCAAUGGGCGAAAGCCUGACCGAGCGACGCCGCGUGCGGGAUGAAGGCCCUCGGGUUGUAAACCGCUGUCGUAGGGGAGGAAGGCUCCGUGAAGAACGGGGUUUGACCUAGCCUAGGAGGAAGUACGGGCUAAGUUCGUGCCAGCCGCCGCGGUAA